AUACGUAGGGGGCGAGCGUUGUCCGGAAUGAUUGGGCGUAAAGGGCGCGUAGGCGGCCCGGUAAGUCUGGAGUGAAAGUCCUGUUUUUAAGAUGGGAAUUGCUUUGGAUACUGUCGGGCUUGAGUGCAGGAGAGGUAAGUGGAAUUCCCAGUGUAGCGGUGAAAUGCGUAGAGAUUGGGAGGAACACCAGUGGCGAAGGCGACUUACUGGACUGUAACUGACGCUGAGGCGCGAAAGUGUGGGGAGUAAACAGGAUUAGAUACCCUGGUAGUCCACACUGUAAACGAUGAAUGCUAGGUGUAGGGGGUAUCGACCCCUUCUGUGCCGCAGUCAACACAAUAAGCAUUCCGCCUGGGGAGUACGGCCGCAAGGUUGAAACUCAAAUGAAUUGGCGGGG
rnacentral:rRNA from 1 species